AAAUUUACAAGUUUAUAGAGUGUAGUGUAGGACAUGAAAAGGACAUAGUUUACUUUCUUCACUUUGAUUUGAAGGCAAUCUACAAAACAAGUGGCCUUGGCAAUACGCAAGUGGCCAUAUGAUGUCCCCAACAACCACUACUUUACAAAAGCCAUAUGAUUCAUGCUUGUCUAUUUAACAAUUACGCAAUUUGUUUUUUUUUUUUUUUUUGAUUACUCAGGGUAAAUCCCACGGAUAGGGUCUCCCCAGUUUUUCAAAUGGGCAUUAAGCAAGAGGCCCAUACCCAUGUGACCAAAGAGGUAAAAGUAGCAGUUCUGCGUCUGAGGAGAAUCGAUCCCUGACCUAUACCAACAGAACGACUCUUCCACUAGACUAGAACCACUAACCCACCAUCUC
rnacentral:lncRNA from 1 species